CAUGCAAGUCGAGCGAAGCUUUUCAGUAGUUUACUACAGAAAAUGACUGAGCGGCGAACGGGUGAGUAACGCGUGAGCAAUCUACCUUAGUUACAGGGAUAGCCCGAGGAAACUCGGAUUAAUACCUGAUAUUCUUUAUUUCUCGCAUGAGAAUAAAAGGAAAGGUCAGCCGAACUAAGAUGAGCUCGCGUUCUAUCAGCUAGUUGGUGAGGUAAAAGCUUACCAAGGCUACGACGGAUAGCUGGUCUGAGAGGACGAUCAGCCACACUGGGACUGAGACACGGCCCAGACUCCUACGGGAGGCUGCAGCAGGGAAUAUUGUGCAAUGAACGAAAGUUUGACACAGCGACACCGCGUGUGGGAUGACGGAUCUAGGUUUGUAAACCACUUUCAGGAGGGAAGAAAAUGACGGUACCUCCACAAGAAGCCCCGGCCAACUACGUGCCAGCAGCCGCGGUAAUACGUAGGGGGCGAGCGUUGUCCGGAUUUAUUGGGCGUAAAGAGCUCGUAGGCGGUUCAACAAGUCGGUCGUGAAAGUUCAGGGCUCAACCCUGAAAUGUCGAUCGAUACUGUUGUGACUAGGAUACGGUAGAGGUGAGUGGAAUUCCGAGUGUAGCGGUGAAAUGCGUAGAUAUUCGGAGGAACACCAAUUGCGAAGGCAGCUCGCUGGGCCGCUAUCGACG
rnacentral:rRNA from 1 species